UACGGAGGGUGCAAGCGUUAAUCGGAAUUACUGGGCGUAAAGCGUGCGUAGGCGGUUCGUUAAGUCUGUUGUGAAAGCCCCGGGCUCAACCUGGGAAUGGCAAUGGAUACUGGCGAGCUAGAGUGUGUCAGAGGAUGGUGGAAUUCCCGGGUGUAGCGGUGAAAUGCGUAGAGAUCGGGAGGAACAUCAGUGGCGAAGGCGGCCAUCUGGGACAACACUGACGCUGAGGCACGAAAGCGUGGGGAGCAAACAGGA
rnacentral:rRNA from 1 species